rnacentral:rRNA from 1 species
GACGAACGCUGGCGGCGUGCUUAACACAUGCAAGUCGAACGGAAAGGCCUUUUCGGAGGUACUCGAGUGGCGAACGGGUGAGUAACACGUGGGUGAUCUGCCCUGCACUCUGGGAUAAGCCUGGGAAACUGGGUCUAAUACCGGAUAGGACCGCACUUUAGUGUGUGUGGUGGAAAGUUUUUUCGGUGUAGGAUGAGCCCGCGGCCUAUCAGCUUGUUGGUGGGGUAAUGGCCUACCAAGGCGGCGACGGGUAGCCGGACUGAGAGGUUGGUCGGCCACAUUGGGACUGAGAUACGGCCCAGACGCCUACGGGAGGCAGCAGUGGGGAAUAUUGCACAAUGGGCGCAAGCCUGAUGCAGCGACGCCGCGGGGGGGAUGACGGCCUUCGGGUUGUAAACUCCUUUCGCCAGGGACGAAGCGUUUUGUGACGGUACCUGGAGAAGAAGCACCGGCUAACUACGUG